AGUGAACGCUGGCGGUAGGCCUAACACAUGCAAGUCGAACGGCAGCACAGUAAGAGCUUGCUCUUACGGGUGGCGAGUGGCGGACGGGUGAGGAAUACAUCGGAAUCUACUUUUUCGUGGGGGAUAACGUAGGGAAACUUACGCUAAUACCGCAUACGACCUACGGGUGAAAGCAGGGGAUCUUCGGACCUUGCGCGAUUGAAUGAGCCGAUGUCGGAUUAGCUAGUUGGCGGGGUAAAGGCCCACCAAGGCGACGAUCCGUAGCUGGUCUGAGAGGAUGAUCAGCCACACUGGAACUGAAACACGGUCCAGACUCCUACGGGAGGCAGCAGUGGGGAAUAUUGGACAAUGGGCGCAAGCCUGAUCCAGCCAUACCGCGUGGGUGAAGAAGGCCUUCGGGUUGUAAAGCCCUUUUGUUGGGAAAGAAAAGCAUCAGGUUAAUACCCCGCUGUUCUGACGGUACCCAAAGAAUAAGCACCGGCUAACUUCGUG
rnacentral:rRNA from 1 species